AUUGAACGCUGGCGGCAGGCCUAACACAUGCAAGUCGAGCGGAGCGGCGGACGGGUGAGUCAUGCCUAGGAUUCUGCCUGGUAGUGGGGGAUAACGUCCGGAAACGGGCGCUAAUACCGCAUACUAUCAGAUGAGCCUAGGUCGGAUUAGCCAGUUGGUGGGGUAAAGGCCUAACAAGGGGACGAUCCGUAACUGGUCUGAGAGGAUGAUCAGUCACAAUGGAACUGGGAGACGGUCCAGACGCCUACGGGAGGAAGCAGUGGGGAAUAUUGGGCAAUGGGCGAAAGGCUGAUCCAGCCAUGCCGCGUGUGUGAAGGAGGUCUUCGGAUUGUAAAGCACUAUAAGUUGGGAGGCGUUACCAACAGAAUAAGCACCGGCUAACUUCGUGCCAGCAGCCGCGGUAAUUC
rnacentral:rRNA from 1 species